UUCUAUAUUCCAAACUAUCCUUCAUAAGCAACAUGUAUGACUUAAGAGUUUUCCUUAAGGUUGGUAAACCAAUCAUGUAAGCAAGUAAGCAAUUCUAGACUUGGGUAGUUUCUAGGAUUUGAACAAGUGGCAAAGAUGUCCUUAAAUCAAGGCAUGAUCAUACACAAGAAUAGGUUUCAUCCAACUCCUAGACUUAGUGCAUGCAAUAAACAAAUAACCUAUAACUAGUCACAUGAAAUAAC
rnacentral:lncRNA from 1 species